rnacentral:lncRNA from 1 species
CUUGACUAUAUGAGAGAUCACUGGAAUUUCUAUUCAAUCGUCAAUGAUUGUCUCGAUGAUGUAGUUGUGUAUCUGAUUCUUUAACUUAAGAUGAUAUUACUGCUCGCAGUGAUGUUGUUGGAGUUUGAUUGAUACAUAAACAUAGGUCUUAAUGAGCCCUUAUAGUAGAUAUUGAUGACAGUUGAUCCACUAUAGGAGUAGGAUGCGCAUCA